AAUGGGGGGAACCCUGAUCCAGCCAUGCCGCGUGUGUGAAGAAGGCCUUUUGGUUGUAAAGCACUUUAAGUGGGGAGGAGGCUUACCUGGUUAAUACCUGGGCUAAGUGGACGUUACCCACAGAAUAAGCACCGGCUAACUCUGUGCCAGCAGCCGCGGUAAUACAGAGGGUGCGAGCGUUAAUCGGAUUUACUGGGCGUAAAGCGCGCGUAGGUGGUUAAUUAAGUCAAAUGUGAAAUCCCCGAGCUUAACUUGGGAAUUGCAUUCGAUACUGGUUAGCUAGAGUAUGGGAGAGGAUGGUAGAAUUCCAGGUGUAGCGGUGAAAUGCGUAGAGAUCUGGAGGAAUACCGAUGGCGAAGGCAGCCAUCUGGCCUAAUACUGACACUGAGGUGCGAAAGCAUGGGGAGCAAA
rnacentral:rRNA from 1 species